UACGGAGGGUGCAAACGUUGCUCGGAAUCAUUGGGCGUAAAGCGCACGUAGGCGGCCUGAUAAGUCGGGUGUGAAAGCCCUGGGCUCAACCCAGGAAGUGCACUCGAAACUGUCAGGCUUGAAUAUGGAAGAGGGUCGCGGAAUUCCCAGUGUAGAGGUGAAAUUCGUAGAUAUUGGGAAGAACACCAGUGGCGAAGGCGGCUCUCUGGACCGUAACUGACGCUGAGGCGCGAAAGCGUGGGGAGCAAACAGG
rnacentral:rRNA from 1 species